CGCGUGAUGUGUUCGCACUUACGCGGUGGAACUGUUUUUCCCAACAUCCCUACUUUUCAUAGGAUUAUUUAAUUAUUGUUUUAAAAAAAACGUUAUUUUUGACUGACAUCACCUUCUUGUCCUUUUGGGGUAACUAGUAAGCAGAUGUCAAGGUAAAUGGACCAAGAGAAGCACAUUUCUAUUCUACGGUGGAUUUUCCUGGAAAAGUACACUAUGCUCAAAAUCUAUUUGUAUACUCUUAACUCUCAGGUCAGUUGUGGUAAUUUGGUCCCUGUUCUGAGAAAAACAUGAUAUAUUCACACCGUACUUACUCAACCUGCCUGCCUCUCUGAUGAAAUCACCAUUACCAGGUAAGUGAUUAAAAAGUUCACUGUAUCCAAACCUUCAUUUAGAGAGAAUUGACAAAAGCGGAUAACUUCAGAAAACCAGCAACUGUGAAAACAUUUGAACCGAGUGCAUUCUAAGUGUAUUUAUGCAAGCUGUCUAAUUUAAUUGUAUUUCUCUAAAAUUAUUUUCAUAUUCAAUAUACGAUUUGUAAGUAGAUUCAUACAUGUAAUUCAAAUCAGUCAAGAUGUGAAUUUUUGAAGAACCAUAUGAGUAAGCUGAAGCUUUCAUGCAGUUGAGUACAAAACUAUCUUUGAAAUGACUCUCAUAGGGGAGUGUAAGAAAUAAUUUACAUGACGCGUGCAAAGUGCAAAAUAACGGUGCUAAUAAUAACUAUUUCAGGCAUGACUAACUUUCAAUAUUUAUCCUGCUCUUAUUCUGAUGUUAGUUGUUUUCGUAAACCCCCAGGUUUCUGCUCGAUUCAGUAAACGCACAUGUGCUAUUGUACCAGGUGAUCCAAUACUAACAAUAAACUUCUGGUGUAACACAAGCAAGAGGACAGUGAAGCAUCUGCUGUCUAUAAGGGUAAAAUUACAGGUUGUGAAAAGAGCCCCAUGGACUUCUGGGAGAAAAAAAAUAGUGCUCCCUGACAAAAGCCUGUAACCUCCCACAUUAUAAUAUUUACUUAUGCUGUUUGCUUUGUCUGUAUGCCUUUCACUUUCUUGUUUUCUCUUUGUUAGGCACUUCAUGAGGAUAUAGGACUUUUUUUCCUAUAUACUGCCAGUAUUUUAUGCAUUUCAGAAAAUAAUUCCACUAAACCAUGCUUCUUAUAACCAGUAUUUAAAAUGGUUGAACCAGUGUUGUACUCACAGUUAGUUGACUAUGUCACAGCUCAGUGUCAUGUGUGUGCUCUACAUUCCUUUCCUGGAGAAAACAAAAAUAAAGGAUAUUUAUGAAGCACAAA